AUACUAAUAAACAUUAUAAGCCUAGAUUAUUAAUAGAUAUAUUCUUUAAAUUUGAAGAAUUUGGCGGUAAUUUAGUCUUGUUAGAGGAACCUGUUUAUGAAUCGAUACACCACGUAAAAUCUUACUCAUUUUAUUUAGUUUAUAUACCGUCAUUAUCAGAUGAUUUUUUAAAAAAUUAAUUAUUGUAAUUUAAAAAUAAAUUAAAUUAGAUCAAGGUGUAGCUUAUGAAUGAGUUUAAAUGGGUUACAAUAAACUUUAUUUAUAAAUGGAAUAAUUAAAUCAGAAAUGAUAUUAUGAAGGAGGAUUUAAUUGUAAUGCAAGUAUAAUAAGCUUGAAAGAUAUAAGCUCUAAU
rnacentral:rRNA from 1 species